rnacentral:rRNA from 1 species
GAUGAACGCUGGCGGCGUGCCUAAUACAUGCAAGUCGAGCGAACGGACGAGAAGCUUGCUUCUCUGAUGUUAGCGGCGGACGGGUGAGUAACACGUGGAUAACCUACCUAUAAGACUGGGAUAACUUCGGGAAACCGUAGCUAAUACCGGAUAAUAUUUUGAACCGCAUGGUUCAAAAGUGAAAGACGGUCUUGCUGUCACUUAUAGAUGGAUCCGCGCUGCAUUAGCUAGUUGGUAAGGUAACGGCUUACCAAGGCAACGAUGCAUAGCCGACCUGAGAGGGUGAUCGGCCACACUGGAACUGAGACACGGACCAGACUCCUACGGGAGGCAGCAGUAGGGAAUCUUCCGCAAUGGGCGAAAGCCUGACGGAGCAACGCCGCGUGAGUGAUGAAGGUCUUCGGAUCGUAAAACGCUGUUAUUAGGGAAGAACAUAUGUGUAAGUAACUGUGCACAUCUUGACGGUACCUAAUCAGAAAGCCACGGCUAACUACGU